UUUUCUGUUGAUUAUUAGAGU
rnacentral:piRNA from 1 species